GCGACUGUUUUACGUGCGCAUCAUCAAGUUUGCCCCAAUUGCUUAGAGAGCAUCAUUGGGCUUGGUUUGGUUUCUGUGUUGGCUACCUACUUGGAAGAGAGUGUCCCUUAAUAUUUGUCUUUGUAUCGGCUUGCACCCUUUUAGGGGGAAUGCUCGCUGAUCUUARUUA
rnacentral:misc_RNA from 1 species